CCCGGGAACGUAUUCACCGUGGCAUUCUGAUCCACGAUUACUAGCGAUUCCGACUUCACGGAGUCGAGUUGCAGACUCCGAUCCGGACUACGACAUACUUUCUGGGAUUCGCUCCACCUCGCGGUCUUGCUGCCCUCUGUAUAUGCCAUUGUAGCACGUGUGUAGCCCUACUCGUAAGGGCCAUGAUGACUUGACGUCGUCCCCACCUUCCUCCGGUUUAUCACCGGCAGUCUCCCUGGAGUUCCCACCCGAAGUGCUGGCAAACAAGGAUAAGGGUUGCGCUCGUUGCGGGACUUAACCCAACAUUUCACAACACGAGCUGACGACAGCCAUGCAGCACCUGUCUCAGAGUUCCCGAAGGCACACUCGAAUCUCUUCAAGCUUCUCUGGAUGUCAAGAGUAGGUAAGGUUCUUCGCGUUGCAUCGAAUUAAACCACAUGCUCCACCGCUUGUGCGGGCCCCCGUCAAUUCAUUUGAGUUUUAAUCUUGCGACCGUACUCCCCAGGCGGUCUACUUAACGCGUUAGCUCCGAAAGCCACGGCUCAAGGCCACAACCUCCAAGUAGACAUCGUUUACGGCGUGGACUACCAGGGUAUCUAA
rnacentral:rRNA from 1 species